rnacentral:rRNA from 1 species
CCAAUAGCGUAUAUUAAAGUUGUUGCAGUUAAAAAGCUCGUAGUUGAAUUUCGGGGUUAGUAGGUCGGUCAUGCCUCUGGUAUGUACUGGUCUCACUGAUUCCUCCUUCCUGAUGAACCUUAAUGCCAUUAAUUUGGUGUUUUGGGGAAUUUGGACUGUUACUUUGAAAAAAAUUAGAGUGUUUAAAGCAAGCUAACGCUUGAAUACAUUAGCAUGGAAUAAUGAAAUAGGACGUUCGAUCCUAUUUUGUUGGUUUCUAGGAUUGACGUAAUGAUUAAUAGGGAUAGUUGGGGGCAUUAGUAUUCAAUUGUCAGAGGUGAAAUUCUUGGAUUUAUUGAAGACUAACUACUGCGAAAGCAUUUGCCAAGGAUGUUUUCAUUACUCAAGAACGAAAGUUAGGGGAUCGAAGACGAUCAGAUACCGUCGUAGUCUUAACCAUAAACUAUGCCAACUAGGGAUCGGAUGAUGUUAAUUUUUUAAUGACUCAUUCGGCGCCUUACG